CACACUUUCACUUUACUGGGCUGCGAGCGCAACCGCGCAAGUACCGGGGCCUCCAAUGGACGCCUCGAUCAAGCGCGACUUCGCGAUCCGGUCGUUCUCGGGACGUUCCGGCGUUCGCGUCUCGAGGCGCGAGGAAUCGGGGAAAAACCGGGUCUGGUCUCGUUCGACUUCUCCGUCGAGGUGGAAAGGCUUUGGGACUGUUUUUGUAGGUUGUACCCUUUUCACCAAGUACACGAGCUUGAGGUUUUUCAUAGCCGUUGCGGAACACUUCCCCUGCAUUCUUGCAGACAGCAGUAUAAGACAGGCGAGGUGACAGGUCCUGGGUUUCUUUUUCCCGACAGGAGGACGAGGACCCACGAACAGAAAACCCUAGUUCGUGCCCACUUUCGGCAUGAGGAAACUCUGUUCCGCACGUAUUUAUAACUCGGAACAAGAAAAGGAGGCUGGGUUAAGUGAGGAUGUACAUGCGAGUGGGGGCUUAAGGCAUUAAGUCGUGGCGUUAUUAUUAGCGCAGAGAGGAGAGAGACAGAGAGAGACAGAGAGAAUGGACAAUAAUUCUGCAAUCUUUCAAAAGCCGGAACAUGCAGAGGCCGACCGAUCAGGAGAGAAAACAACUUUUUGGAGGAUCUUCGAGAUUAGACAUUCAUGACGGUUUGAGUAAUCAGAUCUGCAAUGAACAUGUGUUCUGCAGGGUGAGAUGGUCAGCUGUUGAAGCCAUCAUUAGGCGAGUCUAUCUUGGCGCUUAAGCUAUAAUCAUAAGCAUGAUAAGCCAGUAAUAAAGUAUGUGUUCUACACUUGGAAAAAAUGGCGUUUUGCACAUGUCUUUAUACAUACGCGGUUAGAUUGCUUGUUGACCUCGUCUUGUAUUUUAUGUUUGUCUCGAGCGUUGAAGAAACAUUUUAUGCAUCUGUCAUUAUAAUAUAUGGGUUGCCAAUGAUUAUAAA